rnacentral:rRNA from 1 species
GACGUAGGGCGCGAGCGUUGUCCGGAUUUAUUGGGCGUAAAGAGCGUGUAGGCGGCUUUACAGGUCCGUUGUGAAAACUCGAGGCUCAACCUCGAGACGCCGGUGGAAACCGUAAGGCUAGAGUCCGGAAGAGGAGAGUGGAAUUCCUGGUGUAGCGGUGAAUGACGCAGAUAUCAGGAGGAACACCCGUGGCGAAAGCGGCUCUCUGGGACGGUGCUGACGCUGAGACGCGAAAGCGUGGGGAGCGAACAGG